rnacentral:lncRNA from 1 species
CAGCUGCACUGGGAAACACUGGCAGCAAGAGAGACACACACAGAGUGGAGUUGUUGCCGGUCUGCCAGCCUGCCACAUGCCACAAAUGAAAUGCCUGGCAUGGCAUUUCGUCUAGGGCAAAUCGCCUCGUAUCGUUUCAAAGUGUUGCCAUGGCCAGUGUUAACCAGUGUUGAGUAAGUCACUUAUUAAGUGUCAUCUCCAUGUCGCCAAAGGCGCCGCCUCGCGCCAAAAUGCAAAUGAUAAACUGACAGCCUUAUGACAGCAUUAAGCAAAUUGCUCACCAACCGCCCAGACGAUAAGCAGACAGAAAGACAGACAGACCAAGAGAGACUGGAAUGGAAGAUGCAGAUGGGGCAGACGCACAAGUGGAGUUAACGAUUGGCUUAAUAAAAUGAAAUAUUAAAUGCGAUUAAAAACGCAGAGGACGACGACAACGACAACAGCGAGACGACAACGUGGAAAGGAAGGCGACGAUGCAAUAAAUAUAUUGGGGAACAGGACAAACAGCUACUGGACUUGUGUGUGGAUGCUACAAACAGCACGACAGACGUAGCAGCAGCAGCACAAUUCCAGCUCCAGCUCCAGUUCCAGUUCGAGUUUGCGCCUCUCUCUCUCUCUCUACCCCCCGAAAGACAUGAUAAAAAUGUGAAAUGCAUGCGUUCAUUAAAUUAAUGCGCAUGGGGCAAGGUGAAGGCAACGUAAGGCAAUCCAUGGCUGCAGCUCCUGUGACUGCGCCUGAACAGAUAAUUAAAUGCGUGUUUGUGGCAUGGUCUGUGGGCAAUGGGGCAAGGUGCUCGUAAUGACAUUAAAUAUGUUUAAACAUGCAUAAAUAAAAGGAGGCCUGAACUCGAACCCGAACAA